AACGAACGCUGGCGGCAGGCCUAACACAUGCAAGUCGAACGAAGUCUUCGGACUUAGUGGCGCACGGGUGAGUAACACGUGGGAAUAUACCUUACGCUGGGGGAUAACAUCGGGAAACUGAUGCUAAUACCGCAUACGCCCUUCGGGGGAAAGAUUUAUCGGCGAAAGAUUAGCCCGCGUCCGAUUAGCUAGUUGGUGAGGUAAUGGCUCACCAAGGCUCCGAUCGGUAGCUGGUCUGAGAGGAUGACCAGCCACACUGGGACUGAGACACGGCCCAGACUCCUACGGGAGGCAGCAGUGGGGAAUAUUGGACAAUGGGCGCAAGCCUGAUCCAGCCAUGCCGCGUGAGUGAUGAAGGCCUUAGGGUUGUAAAGCUCUUUCACCCACGACGAUGAUGACGGUAGUGGGAGAAGAAACCCCGGCUAACUUCGU
rnacentral:rRNA from 1 species